rnacentral:rRNA from 1 species
GUGGGGAAUUUUGGACAAUGGGCGCAAGCCUGAUCCAGCAAUGCCGCGUGCAGGAAGAAGGCCUUCGGGUUGUAAACUGCUUUUGUACGGAACGAAACGGUCCGGGUUAAUACCCUGGGCUAAUGACGGUACCGUAAGAAUAAGCACCGGCUAACUACGUGCCAGCAGCCGCGGUAAUACGUAGGGUGCAAGCGUUAAUCGGAAUUACUGGGCGUAAAGCGUGCGCAGGCGGUUUUGUAAGACAGGGGUGAAAUCCCCGGGCUCAACCUGGGAAUUGCGCUUGUGACUGCAAGGCUGGAGUGCGGCAGAGGGGGAUGGAAUUCCGCGUGUAGCAGUGAAAUGCGUAGAUAUGCGGAGGAACACCGAUGGCGAAGGCAAUCCCCUGGGCCUGCACUGACGCUCAUGCACGAAAGCGUGGGGAGCAAACAGGAUUAGAAACCCCAGUAGUCC